rnacentral:lncRNA from 1 species
CUUGUAUCUACGUUGGCCAUUCUUUUUUACGAAGCAAAGCAAUACCAACUCUUUCAAUUUGUCUUUUAGUUUGGAAUGUGGAAUACUGGUGUAAAGAGUAGAAAAGUCAAAUGUUUUAAUACUGUUACAAGAUGAAAGAGAGUUAGAUUGUAUGUACUCUAAAAGAUCUUUGGAAUUUUUAAGUAUCCACAUCUGAUUCACGCCCC